rnacentral:rRNA from 1 species
CACUAAUGUUUUUAUGAGAAUUUAGAAAGAAAAAGUUGAUCUGCGAAUGGCUCUGUAGUACAGUUGUUAUUCUCGCAUUUAUGCGGGUUGUCGUUUUGAUUUAUGAAUCUGAGCAACGCUUUUUUGAGUACGAUUAAAUAGAAAGCAUACCGACAAAAGGAGAUAUCCUGCCCAACUGGCUUGUCAAUACAACAAUGAGGAAUGAAAAAAGCUUAUAUUUAAAAAAGAGACCUUUCCACAAAAAAGCUUUUGAAAUGUGAACAGUCGAGAAAAUUCUGUCUUUGUUCUAUUUAAUUUCCAUUUGGAUUAUUUUGGACAGAUAGAAAGAUUACAAAGCUCUGACCUUGAACAAAAAUAAACCAGUGUUGAUAAUACAAAAUUGAUCAACAGAAAAACGUUUUGAUAUGAAAGACAGGCCAUUGAUUCUUACAAAAAGCGAUAGCAUUACAAAAAAAGCAAAGAUGCAGAAACAACUGCCCUAUCAGGCUGUUGAUGGUAAUGUAGUGGACUACCAUGGCUAACACGGGUAACGAGAAAUCAGGGUUUGAUUUCGGAGAGGCAGCCUGAGAAACGGCUACCACCGCUAAGGCGGGCAGCAGGCACGCAAAUUGCCCACUACAAACCAAUCGAAAGUGAGGCAGCGACGAGACGAAGCAUCAUCGCCAUCCAAAAAGUGAUGUGUGAUGUAUGCAAUGGAUGUUUAUCCAAACCACCAAUGAGGAUCAACUGGAGGGCCAGUCUGGUGCCAGCAGCCGCGGUAAUUCCAGCUCCAGUAGCGUAUACCAAUGUUGUUGCCGUUAAAGCGCUCGUAGUCGAUUGAAUAUUUGUACAAGGCUCUGAUGUAUUUUUUUAAAUACACAGAUUUUUUAAAAGCCGAAUAAAAGCAAGUUCUUGCUUUAUUUGACCUUUUCUUGUACAAAAAUACAAACUCCUAUCUUCGAAAUGUCAUUAGAUUGCUUUGCGAGAAAGAAAAAAAACAGUAUUGGGAAAUUCUAACAAAAAAGGACACAAAAACAAAAAGAAAAACAGUGACGUCUGCUUUGAAACCAGAGACUCUAAUUUACCUUUUUUACACUGUAAGUUGAAACAAAAAGAUUAUCUUGCAAAAUCUUAAAAGAUACGGAACCCUGAACAAACCAGUGAGAUUUAAGCAGACCACAAAAAACAACAGUUUUUUUGAAAAGGAAAAGAUGCUAUGGAAAAAAGUUAUCACAUUUUCUAUGUUCAAAAAAGAAAAGUAACAGACCGAAAUCAAUAUUCUCAUGAAAAAAGAGAUUAUUGUCAAGAAACAAAAAAGUGUCUUGUAUGAUAUAGCAGGGAAUUCCAGAGGAUCAACUGGCACCCAUGUCUUUUACUGGUAAAAGCUUUUUCUAUUCACGAAAAAGAAAAAGAAAACCAAGAGAGAAACGAUUGGGCAAAAUAUUAUGAGACACAACGUAUCAUUUUUUUUUUAGCCAGACAAAAAAGCUGAUAACUUUUUGACCAUUUAUUAUGAACGCACCCACCAAAAAAGUUCAAAAGUUUCAGAAAAUGUCAACGAUGGGAUUCUCUCGGGGUGAUGAGUAUUGUAGUGCGAGAGGUGAAAUUUUUAGACCACUGCGGGACUAACUGUAGGGAAGGCGCAUCCCCAGAGAGUUUCCGCCGAUCAAGAACGAAAGCGCGGGGAUGGAAGAUGAUCAGAUCCCGUCGUAUUCCGCGCUGUAAACUAUACUUGCUGGGUUCUGGUGUUGGGAUUCAUAUAUUCAAAAUUUCCAAAAACGAAAGAGACCCCCAAAUGAUUUUUUUGCUGACUGCAUGAGUUCCACACCCCGCAACGAGAAAUCCAAAGCUUUUGGGUUCGGGGGGGAGUACGUCCACAAGGCUCAAACUUAAAGGAAUUGACGGAAUGACACCACAAGGCGUGGGGUAUGCGGCUCAAUUUGACUCAACACGGGAAAGCUCAUUAGGUCCAGACGCUGAAGGAUG